AACGAACGCUGGCGGCAGGCUUAACACAUGCAAGUCGAGCGCCCCGCAAGGGGAGCGGCAGACGGGUGAGUAACGCGUGGGAACGUACCCUUUGCUACGGAAUAGCUCCGGGAAACUGGAAUUAAUACCGUAUGUGCCCUACGGGGGAAAGAUUUAUCGGCAAAGGAUCGGCCCGCGUUGGAUUAGCUAGUUGGUGGGGUAAUGGCCUACCAAGGCGACGAUCCAUAGCUGGUCUGAGAGGAUGAUCAGCCACAUUGGGACUGAGACACGGCCCAAACUCCUACGGGAGGCAGCAGUGGGGAAUAUUGGACAAUGGGCGCAAGCCUGAUCCAGCCAUGCCGCGUGAGUGAUGAAGGCCUUAGGGUUGUAAAGCUCUUUCACCGGAGAAGAUAAUGACGGUACCUAGAGAAGAAGCCCCGGCUAACUUCGUGCCAGCAGCCGCGGUAAUAC
rnacentral:rRNA from 1 species